rnacentral:tRNA from 1 species
UGACCUCGGAGUGUGAUGGAUUGGCACGCGAGCCUGCGACGCUCGUAGACCAGGUUCGAUUCCUGGCGAGGGCAU